GACGAACGCUGGCGGCGUGCUUAACACAUGCAAGUCGAACGCUGAAGCUUGGUGCUUGCACUGGGUGGAUGAGUGGCGAACGGGUGAGUAAUACGUGAGUAACCUGCCCUUGACUCUGGGAUAAGCCUGGGAAACUGGGUCUAAUACUGGAUACGACAUGCCACUGCAUUGUGGUGUGUGGAAAGGGUUUUACUGGUUUUGGAUGGGCUCACGGCCUAUCAGCUUGUUGGUGGGGUAAUGGCCUACCAAGGCGACGACGGGUAGCCGGCCUGAGAGGGUGACCGGCCACACUGGGACGGAGACACGGCCCAGACUCCUACGGGAGGAAGCAGUGGGGAAUAUUGCACAAUGGGCGGAAGCCUGAUGCAGCGACGCCGCGUGAGGGAUGACGGCCUUCGGGUGGUAAACCUCUUUCAGCACGGAAGAAGCGAGAGUGACGGUACGGGCAGAAGAAGCGCCGGCUAACUACGU
rnacentral:rRNA from 1 species